GUGCCAGCAGCCGCGGUAAUACGAAGGGUGCAAGCGUUAAUCGGAAUUACUGGGCGUAAAGCGCGCGUAGGUGGUUCGUUAAGUUGGAUGUGAAAGCCCCGGGCUCAACCUGGGAACUGCAUCCAAAACUGGCGAGCUAGAGUAUGGCAGAGGGUGGUGGAAUUUCCUGUGUAGCGGUGAAAUGCGUAGAUAUAGGAAGGAACACCAGUGGCGAAGGCGACUUUCUGGACUGUAACUGACGCUGAGGCGCGAAAGCGUGGGGAGCAAACAGGAUUAGAUACCCUGGUAGUCC
rnacentral:rRNA from 1 species